AACGAACGCUGGCGGCGCGCCUAACACAUGCAAGUCGAACGAGAAUCCGGGGCAACCCGGUAGUAAAGUGGCAAACGGGUGAGGAAUACAUGGGUAACCUACCCUUGAGAAGGGAAUAACCCGCCGAAAGGUGAGCUAAUACCCUAUACGCUAUCUUUUUUUCGAAAGGAAUAGGAAAGCCGGGUCGAGGACCUGGUACUCAAGGAGGGGCUCAUGUCCUAUCAGCUUGUUGGUGGGGUAACGGCCUACCAAGGCUACGACGGGUAGCUGGUCUGAGAGGAUGAUCAGCCACACUGGCACUGAGAUACGGGCCAGACUCCUACGGGAGGCAGCAGUGAGGAAUAUUGCGCAAUGGGCGAAAGCCUGACGCAGCGACGCCGCGUGGGGGAGUGAAGGUUUUCGGAUUGUAAACCCCUUUCCAUGAGGAAAGAUAAAGUGGGUAACCACUUAGACGGUACCCAAGAAGAAGCCACGGCUAACUUCGUG
rnacentral:rRNA from 1 species